GUCACUUAUGGUUUGUCUCCCUCCCAAUCCCAUCUCCGUAUGCUACUUCUACAAAGGUUUAUGACAAACUGCCAUUGGGUGCUUUGCUAGAGAAGUUCGUAUUCUUUGGGGGCAUUUACUGCUGUUCUAGUCAGGACAGGCUUUGUUACGAUGCAAUAACAACUGAAUACUCUCAGUGGCUUAAAACAGCAUGUUUCUUUCUUACAGUACUUUUAGGAGCUUCUAGCACAUUCUACAGCAUGGAUAGACGUGAAGAUGAGAAGUGAAGGAAGCUAGUCAUAAACAGACAAAUACUGUAUGACUCCACUUCUAUGAGCAGGUACUGAGACCCAAUCAAGGCCUUCUUAGAGCCUCCAGGGUACAGAGUAGAGAAUCAGCAUGAGAACUGGAUGUACCACAUGUAGCAGCAACCUCUACCAGGCAAUUGUCUUCUAACAGAGGACACAACUGAGAUUCAAGUAAGUCAGAUAACAUGCGUAACGCCUAAAGACACUGGGAAGUGUCCGAGAUAGAACCACAUCCAGUCGAACAGGCUCCAGACCUGGAGAUUCCACCGGCAUCCAGAUACUGUUUUCUCAAGAACUCCAACUAUGGGAAUUUUGAGAACUUGGGAGCUUAAGGGAAGCUUCUUUGGGAUCACUCUGGCUAAGACUGUGUAAGGAGAGCAGGUGGAGGUGGAACACCCACUGCUUCCGUGACCGGCAUUUUCCUACCUACAGACCUCAAGGAGAGCAACCAGCAACCAGGAGAGCAACCAGUGUCCAUCGAGGACAGGCAAGAACUGGUCUGGGAAGAGGAGAAAAAUGGGAUUUUGCCAAAGGAUGACUUACACUGUAAGAUUCCCGAAUGGAAGAGCCAGUGAACCCCUCUGCCAAUCCUUUUCACAUACACACUGGAGGAGGAAAAGGAAGACCAAGAGGAAGAGGAAGAAGAAGAAGAAGAAGAGAAACUUUGAUAUGGGUCAAAGCCAAGGAAACAUU